UUUUAUGGAGAGUUUGAUCCUGGCUCAGGAUGAACGCUGGCGGCGUGCCUAAUACAUGCAAGUCGAGCGAACGGACGAGAAGCUUGCUUCUCUGAUGUUAGCGGCGGACGGGUGAGUAACACGUGGAUAACCUACCUAUAAGACUGGGAUAACUUCGGGAAACCGGAGCUAAUACCGGAUAAUAUUUUGAACCGCAUGGUUCAAAAGUGAAAGACGGUCUUGCUGUCACUUAUAGAUGGAUCCGCGCUGCAUUAGCUAGUUGGUAAGGUAACGGCUUACCAAGGCAACGAUGCAUAGCCGACCUGAGAGGGUGAUCGGCCACACUGGAACUGAGACACGGUCCAGACUCCUACGGGAGGCAGCAGUAGGGAAUCUUCCGCAAUGGGCGAAAGCCUGACGGAGCAACGCCGCGUGAGUGAUGAAGGUCUUCGGAUCGUAAAACUCUGUUAUUAGGGAAGAACAUAUGUGUAAGUAA
rnacentral:rRNA from 1 species